UGGUCAAGUUAUUAAGGGUGCAGGGCGGAUGCCUUGGCACUAGGAGCCGAUGAAGGACGUGAUAAGCUGCGAUAAGCUUCGGGGAGUUGCACGUAAACUUUGAUCCGAAGAUUUCCGAAUGAGGAAACUCACUUAGAGUAAUGUCUAAGUAUCAUUAAGUGAAUACAUAGCUUAAUGAGGGGAACUCAGGGAACUGAAACAUCUAAGUACCUGAAGGAAGAGAAAGAAAUUCGAUUCCGUAAGUAGCGGCGAGCGAACGCGGAUUAGCCCAAACUAAUAAAGUUUUCUUUAUUGGGGUUGCGGACAUAUCAUAACGAAGAGGUAUCGUAAUUGAAGAGGUUUGGAAAGACCCACCACAGAAGGUAAUAGUCCUGUAUGUUAAACGAGAAGACUUUAGAUAUGAUCCAGAGUACCACGGGACACGUGAAACCCUGUGGGAAGCAGGAGGGACCACCCUCCAAGGCUAAAUACUACCUAGUGACCGAUAGCGUAUAGUACCGUGAGGGAAAGGUGAAAAGAACCCCGGGAGGGGAGUGAAAUAGAACCUGAAACCCUGCACUUACAAGCUGUGGAAGCACAUUUCUUGUGUGACCGCGUACUUUUUGUAGAACGGGCCAACGAGUUACGUUAAGUAGCAAGGUUAAGCACUUAAGGUGUGGAGCCGUAGCGAAAGCGAGUUUUAACUGAGCGUUCAGUUACUUGACGUAGACCCGAAACCGGGCGACCUACCCAUGAGCAGGAUGAAGCGAAAGUAAAAUUUCGUGGAGGUCCGAACCCACGAGCGUUGAAAAGCUCGGGGAUGACUUGUGGGUAGCGGUGAAAUUCCAAUCGAGCCCGGAGAUAGCUGGUUCUCCCCGAAAUAGCUUUAGGGCUAGCCUCAAGGUGAGAGAUACGGAGGUAGAGCACUGAAUGUCCUAGGGGGUAUUGCACCUACCGAAGACUAUCAAACUCCGAAUGCCGUCAUCUUAUACUUGGGAGUCAGACUGUGGGUGAUAAGAUUCAUAGUCGAAAGGGCAACAGCCCAGAUCGUCAGCUAAGGUCCCUAAAUGUAAGUUAAGUGGUAAAGGAUGUGGGAUUGCACAGACAACCAGGAUGUUGGCUUAGAAGCAGCCACUCAUUCAAAGAGUGCGUAAUAGCUCACUGGUCGAGUGAUCCUGCGCCGAAGAUUUCCGGGGCUAAAACUUACUACCGAAGCUACGGCAUCAGUAAUGAUGGGUAGGGGAGCUUCCCAUACGGGUUGAAGCAUGACCGUAAGGACAUGUGGACAGUAUGGGAGUGAGAAUGUUGGCAUGAGUAGCGAGAUGUGGGUGAGAAUCCCACAGGCCGUAAACCCAAGGUUUCCAGGGGAAGGUUCGUCCGCCCUGGGUUAGUCGGGACCUAAGCUGAGGCCGAAAGGCGUAGGUGAUGGACAACAGGUUGAUAUUCCUGUACUACCGAUAACCGUUUGAGAGAUGGGAUGACACAGUAGGAUAAGCUAAGCACACUGUUGGUUAUGUGUGCCCAAGCAUUGAGGCAGUCAAAGUAGGCAAAUCCGCUUUGAUAAUGCUGGGAUGUGAUGGGGAGCGAAAUUUAGUAGCGAAGUAGCUGAUUUCACACUGUCAAGAAAAGUCUCUAUCGAGGUUAAAGGUACCCGUACCGCAAACCGACACAGGUGGGUGAGGAGAGUAUCCUAAGGCCAGCGAGAGAACUGUUGUUAAGGAACUCGGCAAAAUGACCCCGUAACUUAGGGAUAAGGGGUGCCACCAUCAGGUGGCCGCAGAGAAUAGGCCCAAGCGACUGUUUACCAAAAACAUAGGUUUCUGCUAAGUCGCAAGACGAUGUAUAGGAGCUGACGCCUGCCCGGUGCUGGAAGGUUAAGGGAUCUGUUAGAGCAAUCGAAGCAGUGAACUUAAGCCCCAGUAAACGGCGGCCGUAACUAUAACGGUCCUAAGGUAGCGAAAUUCCUUGUCGGGUAAGUUCCGACCCGCACGAAAGGCGUAACGAUUUGGGCACUGUCUCAACAACAGACUCGGUGAAAUUGUAAUUCCGGUGAAGAUGCCGGAUACCUGCGACAGGACGGAAAGACCCCAUGGAGCUUUACUGUAGCUUGACAUUGGGUCUUGGUACUACAUGUACAGGAUAGGUGGGAGGCUUUGAAACCAGGACGCCAGUUUUGGCGGAGCCAUCCUUGGGAUACCACCCUUGUAGUACUGGGACUCUAACCAUAGGCCAUGAAUCUGGUCUUGGGACACUGUCAGGUGGGCAGUUUGACUGGGGCGGUCGCCUCCCAAAAGGUAACGGAGGCGCUCAAAGGUUCUCUCAGUACGGUCGGAAAUCGUACGUAGAGUGUAAAGGCAAAAGAGAGCUUGAUUGCAAGACAUACAGGUCGAGCAAGGAUGAAAAUCGGACUUAGUGAUCCGGUGGUUCUGCGUGGAAGGGCCAUCGCUCAACGGAUAAAAGCUACCCUGGGGAUAACAGGCUUAUCUCCCCCAAGAGUCCACAUCGACGGGGAGGUUUGGCACCUCGAUGUCGGCUCAUCACAUCCUGGGGCUGUAGUAGGUCCCAAGGGUUGGGCUGUUCGCCCAUUAAAGUGGUACGCGAGCUGGGUUCAGAACGUCGUGAGACAGUUCGGUCCCUAUCCGUCGCAGGCGUAGGAAAUUUGAGAAGACCUGUCCUUAGUACGAGAGGACCGGGAUGGACGUACCUCUGGUGUACCAGUUGUCCUGCCAAGGGCAUGGCUGGGUAGCUAUGUACGGAAUGGAUAAGCGCUGAAAGCAUCUAAGCGCGAAGCCAACUUCAAGAUAAGAUUUCCCACCGCAAGGGUAAGACCCCAGAAAGACUAUCUGGUUGAUAGGUCGAAGGUGUAAGUGCAGCAAUGUAUUUAGCUUAUCGAUACUAAUAGGUCGAGGACUUGACCAAU
rnacentral:rRNA from 1 species